rnacentral:rRNA from 1 species
CGAAAGCCUGACRCAGCAACGCCGCGUGUGGGAUGAAGCUCCUUGGAGUGUAAACCACUGUCAGGAGGGACGAACGAUCUUGGCUUUAAUACGGCCUUGGUUUGACGGUACCUCCAGAGGAAGCUCCGGCCAACACCGUGCCAGCAGCCGCGGUAAUACGGGGGGAGCAAGCGUUGUUCGGAAUCACUGGGCGUAAAGGGUGCGUAGGCGGGAGAUUAGRUCGGAUGUGAAAACCUCGGGCUCAACCCGGGGCCUGCAUUCGAAACCAGUUUUCUUGAGUAUCGGAGAGGGAAGCGGAACUCCAGGUGUAGCGGUGAAAUGCGUAGAUAUCUGGAGGAACACCGGUGGCGAAGGCGGCUUCCUVGCCGAAUACUGACGCUCAGGCACGAAGGCUAGGGGAGCAAACAGGAUUAGAUACCCUGGUAGUCUAGCGGUAAACGAUGGGCACUAGGUAUCGGGGGUAUCGACCCCCUCGGUGCCGCA